GCGUGGAAUGUGUCGUAAGUGAUUGAUAAACAUAACAUUGAUGGAAAAAUAAUGACAAGUACCUUGCCAAGGUACAGGUCGCCAGUUCGAACCUGGUUUCCCGCUCCA
rnacentral:tRNA from 1 species